rnacentral:rRNA from 1 species
GGUGCUGAAGCAACAAAUGCCCUGCUUCCAGGAAAAGCCUCUAAGCAUCAGGUAACAUCAAAUCGUACCCCAAACCGACACAGGUGGUCAGGUAGAGAAUACCAAGGCGCUUGAGAGAACUCGGGUGAAGGAACUAGGCAAAAUGGUGCCGUAACUUCGGGAGAAGGCACGCUGAUAUGUAGGUGAAGUCCCUCGCGGAUGGAGCUGAAAUCAGUCGAAGAUACCAGCUGGCUGCAACUGUUUAUUAAAAACACAGCACUGUGCAAACACGAAAGUGGACGUAUACGGUGUGACGCCUGCCCGGUGCCGGAAGGUUAAUUGAUGGGGUCAGCGCAAGCGAAGCUCUUGAUCGAAGCCCCGGUAAACGGCGGCCGUAACUAUAACGGUCCUAAGGUAGCGAAAUUCCUUGUCGGGUAAGUUCCGACCUGCACGAAUGGCGUAAUGAUGGCCAGGCUGUCUCCACCCGAGACUCAGUGAAAUUGAACUCGCUGUGAAGAUGCAGUGUACCCGCGGCAAGACGGAAAGACCCCGUGAACCUUUACUAUAGCUUGACACUGAACAUUGAGCCUUGAUGUGUAGGAUAGGUGGGAGGCUUAGAAGUGUGGACGCCAGUCUGCAUGGAGCCGACCUUGAAAUACCACCCUUUAAUGUUUGAUGUUCUAACGUUGACCCGUAAUCCGGGUUGCGGACAGUGUCUGGUGGGUAGUUUGACUGGGGCGGUCUCCUCCUAAAGAGUAACGGAGGAGCACGAAGGUUGGCUAAUCCUGGUCGGACAUCAGGAGGUUAGUGCAAUGGCAUAAGCCAGCUUGACUGCGAGCGUGACGGCGCGAGCAGGUGCGAAAGCAGGUCAUAGUGAUCCGGUGGUUCUGAAUGGAAGGGCCAUCGCUCAACGGAUAAAAGGUACUCCGGGGAUAACAGGCUGAUACCGCCCAAGAGUUCAUAUCGACGGCGGUGUUUGGCACCUCGAUGUCGGCUCAUCACAUCCUGGGGCUGAAGUAGGUCCCAAGGGUAUGGCUGUUCGCCAUUUAAAGUGGUACGCGAGCUGGGUUUAGAACGUCGUGAGACAGUUCGGUCCCUAUCUGCCGUGGGCGCUGGAGAACUGAGGGGGGCUGCUCCUAGUACGAGAGGACCGGAGUGGACGCAUCACUGGUGUUCGGGUUGUCAUGCCAAUGGCACUGCCCGGUAGCUAAAUGCGGAAGAGAUAAGUGCUGAAAGCAUCUAAGCACGAAACUUGCC